rnacentral:rRNA from 1 species
AUACGGAGGUUGCAAGCGUUAUCCGGAAUUACUGGGUUUAAAGGGUGCGUAGGCGGUUUAAUAAGUCAGAAGUGAAAAGUCCGGGCUCAACCGGGGCCUUGCUUUUGAUACUGUUAGACUUGAAUUGGGCUGAGGUUAGCGGAAUGUGACAUGUAGCGGUGAAAUGCAUAGAUAUGUCAUAGAACACCAAUUGCGAAGGCAGCUAACUAGACCUUAAUUGACGCUGAGGCACGAAAGCGUGGGGAGCGAACAGGAUUAGAAACCCUAGUAGUCC